GCGGGUGUAGCUCAGCUGUUAGAGCGCUUCCUUGCCAAGGAAGAGGCCCAGGGUUAGAGUCCCUGUACCCGCACCA
rnacentral:tRNA from 1 species